UGGGGAAUAUUGGACAAUGGGCGCAAGCCUGAUCCAGCCAUGCCGCGUGAGUGUUGAAGGCCCUAGGGUUGUAAAGCUCUUUCACCGGUGAAGAUAAUGACGGUAACCGGAGAAGAAGCCCCGGCUAACUUCGUGCCAGCAGCCGCGGUAAUACGAAGGGGGCUAGCGUUGUUCGGAUUUACUGGGCGUAAAGCGCACGUAGGCGGACUUUUAAGUCAGGGGUGAAAUCCCGGGGCUCAACCCCGGAACUGCCUUUGAUACUGGAAGUCUUGAGUAUGGUAGAGGUGAGUGGAAUUCCGAGUGUAGAGGUGAAAUUCGUAGAUAUUCGGAGGAACACCAGUGGCGAAGGCGGCUCACUGGACCAUUACUGACGCUGAGGUGCGAAAGCGUGGGGAGCAAACAGG
rnacentral:rRNA from 1 species